AUCCAUACUUCGAUGCAUCAAGAUCAUAUAGCCUUCCUGGCAGAUAUCCUGGAGCACACAUGGAAAAAUAUUUGUUACGUGCUUCCUUAACAGCAAUUCGAAGUAAUACAAUAAAAGAGAAGGGGAAACAGGACAGAAAGUAAACAGAGAUUAUGUAUAUGCAUGUCCCAUUUUUUUUAAUUUGAAAUUCACUCUUGUUUAGUAGUCACAUUGAGUCUGAUCAAAUAUGAAAUCAAGUCGGGCUUCUAAAUAGGAGGUAAAGCUCUCCAAACAUUAUCUUUUCCAUCAAUAAAGCUCAAAGCCAAAACCUUGAUUAAGUAGCAUCGAGCUCUUUAUCCCUCCUCAACAAACAUGGCUCAGGAGCACAAUCGAUAAUAGGCACUCGAAACAUGAAAUACCUUGGGGUCCAACUGAUUGAGAGGGUGGAGGAAGCCAGACAUGAGUAACACCAGCAUUAGCGAUAUCAGGGAUGGAGUUCUUGAGAGAGCUAUACCAUCCUCCAGCCUUAUUACACGACUCCCAGUUGAAACCCUACACGUCAUCAUCAAUUAGUCGCAGAAUUGCAGAUAAGUCGUGAGGGUAGAUGAAAUAACAAGUGCAAGCUAUACCUGGAAUAGCAAGCUUGGAGACGUCAAAGAUGGAAAGAUAUAGAGGAAAAGAGAAAGGAAGCAAAGUGAAGUUACACAACUCAUUCUCUGUAUUUAUAUAUAUAUAUAUGUUUCGUUCUCUUAGCCUCAUGAGACGAGCUUGGUGAAUGGUGAUAUGCUUCUGGCUUUAUAUAGGCACCAAUUCCUGUUUCAAGAUGACACAAUGCACAUAUGGUUCAUUGUGAACACUGAAACUGAGGAAAUGUUUCUUUGCUUCAAUCUUGAUUCGCAAAUAAGUCAUCUGUAUUAAUUAUUGCCAUAUACAUAUUCUUAUCCUCUUUAUUUGGUUCCUGGAUAAAACAGCCAAAGAUGUUGGACAUAGCUGAGAAUAAUCAGGAGGAAGGUGUUUACACUAAAACACUUUAUUUUGCGGACAUUCGAGCAGUGGAGGCACAUUGUGGUGCAUGGGUAGCAAGUAGCGACUUCAUCAGUUAAAGCCAAAAACGCUUUUCGAUUCUUCGUUUCCCACGACACUCCAAAGGGGAAUGCUCGAUGAGGUCCCCGCAAGUAGGGUUUCUGGUGGGUCAUUUCAUACAUGGAGAUAAGCUCUUUUCUCACACGAAAUUGUCAUCAUCUACUUUACGUAAUAAAUAUUUAUCUUGCCUACACACAAAUCACGUUGUAACUUGCAAGUUGUGAAAAUUGCAAAAACAAAAAGUUCUUUUUUUUUUUCUGUCAAAGCAAAA